rnacentral:rRNA from 1 species
AUUGAACGCUGGCGGCAUGCUUUACACAUGCAAGUCGAACGGUAACAGGUUAAGCUGACGGGUGGCGAACGGGUGAGUAAUGCAUCGGAACGUGCCCGAUCGUGGGGGAUAACGCAGCGAAAGCUGCGCUAAUACCGCAUACGAUCUGAGGAUGAAAGCGGGGGACCGUAAGGCCUCGCGCGAUCGGAGCGGCCGAUGUCAGAUUAGGUAGUUGGUGGGGUAAAGGCUCACCAAGCCAACGAUCUGUAGCUGGUCUGAGGGGACGACCAGCCACACUGGGACUGAGACACGGCCCAGACGCCUACGGGAGGCAGCAGUGGGGAAUUUUGGACAAUGGGCGAAAGCCUGAUCCAGCAAUGCCGCGUGCAGGAAGAAGGCCUUCGGGUUGUAAACUGCUUUUGUACGGAGCGAAAAGGUUCUCUCUAAUACAGAGGGCUCAUGACGGUACCGUAAGAAUAAGCACCGGCUAACUACGUGCCAGCAGCCGCCGUAA